AUAGAAGCAACACGAAAAUGCUCUUCACCAACAAUCAUACCACAAACUAAUAUGCUGCCCAUUACCAAUACGCUAGGCAGUAUGAGAAGAAAGAAGACAAACUGCAAACAAUAUCUUUCCAGGUGCUAGAAUGAAAAUGUUUCAAUGGCACAGGAAUACCUUUUUAACACUUUAAUAACGGUUGAAUUCACCGUUAAUUAAGUGACACUCAACAUCAUUAAUAAUAUUUAUUUAUACUAACUGUCUUU
rnacentral:lncRNA from 1 species